rnacentral:lncRNA from 1 species
UUUAUUCUAUGGUUUUGAAUGUAUGAAUCAUUGUUUACUUCACUACUGCUUGAUUUGGUGAAUCUAAGAUAUGCUUGCCUUGUUGGAUGCACGUUGCUUGAUUAAGUAUUCAUGUUUGAAUGGGUAACGGAAAACUAAGAAAAAAAAAUAGGAAAGGGGUGUGAAUUGAUAAAUGGAUAAGUUGACAGCCUCACUAGAUAUCCUGGGAGAUGGUGGACGGACUGGGUCCAUAGGAAACCCUACCGGGAAUGUUGUCUAAUACUGG